GUGGGGAAUAUUGGACAAUGGGGGGAACCCUGAUCCAGCCAUGCCGCGUGUGUGAAGAAGGCCUUUUGGUUGUAAAGCACUUUAAGCGAGGAGGAGGCUACCGAGAUUAAUACUCUUGGAUAGUGGACGUUACUCGCAGAAUAAGCACCGGCUAACUCUGUGCCAGCAGCCGCGGUAAUACAGAGGGUGCAAGCGUUAAUCGGAUUUACUGGGCGUAAAGCGCGCGUAGGUGGCCAAUUAAGUCAAAUGUGAAAUCCCCGAGCGUAACUUGGGAAUUGCAUGCGAUACUGGUUGGCUAGAGUAUGGGAGAGGAUGGUAGAAUUCCAGGUGUAGCGGUGAAAUGCGUAGAGAUCUGGAGGAAUACCGAUGGCGAAGGCAGCCAUCUGGCCUAAUACUGACACUGAGGUGCGAAAGCAUGGGGAGCAAACAGGAUUAGAAACCCCUGUAGUCC
rnacentral:rRNA from 1 species